rnacentral:tRNA from 1 species
GUCUCGGUAGUGUAAAGGAUAGAGUACGGUGCCCAGAAGCAAAAGUACGGGUUCGAGUCCCGUCCGAGAUC